rnacentral:pre_miRNA from 1 species
UACAUACUCCCUCGGUCCUAAAUUACUUGUUGUAGGAAUGGAUGUAUUUAAACUUAUUUUAGUUCUAGAUACAUCCAUUUCUAUGCAUUUUUGUGCCAAGUAAUUUCGUACGGAGGGAAUAUAUU